ensembl:lncRNA
GGAUAUUUAUUGCUCACAGUGACAGUAGGCAGCAUAUGCACAGCAUGUUUCUAUUACUGACUGCUCACUGAACGGGAAGACAAAAGGGCUACAUGAAAAGAAAAUGUGGUAAAACAUCUCCUCGCUCAGGUGGCAGCUCCUUGUCUCAACUAUGUCUCUCCUAUGCAUUUGAUAACAUCUCCAAAGAUUAUAUCUUUCAUUCAGUCCUGAAAUUUUAGGUCACUUUAUUACCCCUUUCUGUUAAUUGGUUUGCCGCUGGCAGGCUUUGAAAGUGGUGCAUUUUUCUCUUAUCAUACAAGCUGGAAAAGAGCCCAAAGCACGAGCUCAUCAGCCAGCUGCUUGUACCUGCUGCUCUGCCUGCUGCUGCUAACUACAUGCUAAUAGUGCGAUCUGAACCUGGGGGGGAUUGGGAUGAAUUUGUAAAUUGUGCUCAUGCCAGGAAAAUGAAUGAGACUUACACAGAUCACAAAGAGAGCAGCUGCUUUUAGACGAGAUGAAUCACCAUGUUACAUGUUAGUCGGGGUAAUAAAAUAUAUUUCCUCCCUUGAAUUUUUUUGGAGGCAUGUGAUUAUGUGGCAAGUAUAACAUGAGAAAUGUUUUCAAAGCCACCUGAGAUGGAAUAACGAGAUUCACUAUUUUUGAAUAGAUUUAUGUUUGAACACAUUCAACAUUUCUCUUGUGUGUUUCUUUUAGAGGUCUCUUCACAUAUUGUGUACUCAUUGGAAGACAGCAUGCUUAAAUAUUUUAAAGUUGGAGCAAAGGGCAGCAUUUAAGCACGUGAAAAGUACAAAAAACAAGUAAAGCAGGGUCUUCAUUAGAGAUGGCUUUGCUCAGUACUACGAACCUACCUCCACUUCCCUGCCACUGCAGCUGCACCUCUUCAGAGGACAUCUGUGCCAUUCUGUACCAUUGCUUCUGGCUGGAGGAUGCUCUAUUCACAUAGAGUUCUUCCCAAGCCAUAGUUUCUGAGGGUGAGUUCUGCUUGUGCAUUUCAAGUUUUGGGCGCUGGCCACAUCUGAGUGAGAUGUUCCCAUUCCUGCACACACAUCACAGCUGGAUGAUGACGCUCUGAAAUGUUUCACAUACUGAAGGAAUGUAUUGCUAUUGAAGAAUUACUAUGGAAACACAAGUACCUCCAGAGACAAGCAUAUUUUGUUUAGUUUUUGUGUAACUAUACUUUGUGUAGCCUUGCAAUGUAGUACUGCCUCCUAUUAAGAGGGCGUAAGCUUUGCACGUCGUCAGGGUUGCUCUGUCUGAACUUCUCCUGAACUGUUCCCAACUUGAGGGUCCAGAGAAGCAUGGAAGAGUGAGCGCACCCCCAGGAAGUGGAACAGAAAGCUAAGUACACAUAUUACAAUUUUAAUUCUAUUACUGCUAUAAUUAUGACCUUUUCUGUAAUAACAACAUCUGAACAAAUAACAAUUAUUGAAUUAGACUGAAGAUUUAGUUUCAACAAGACUAAGUGCUGGGUCCUGCACUUCGGCCACGACAACCCCAGGCAAUGCUACAGGUUUGGGGCAGAGUGUUGGAAGACUGUGUAGAGGAAAUGGACCUGGGGAUAUUGGUC